CACUGUUUCUCGCUAUAAACAGUCGAUCAGGUCUACGAAGGUGGUGGAAAGAAACGUCUGGUGGCGAGACUGCGAUCCAAACACCCACCGAAACAGUCCAGGCCCUGGAAAUGCAAGGUCCACAUUUUCACGGGAGUAUGCUGAUUCCAACAUUUGACUGAAUUGUCAGAUCAUGUAAAUAAUUGUGGUUGUUGGUUGCUGGGAGCCGCAACCUACAAGGUGAGUACAAGUACUUUCAUUAGGAUGCUUGUUUUAAAUACAGUAGCUAGCCUACGUCUUCUGUUGUGACUCGAAUAGCCUGUUUUGACAAUCUGGCGAGUCGCCACUGAAAACCUCAACACAGCACCUACGGAAAUAAUCGCAGUUUACGGUAAGCAACGUAAUGAGAUUGUAGUACAUUAUUUAUAUAGAUCGAAAGCUACAGGC
rnacentral:misc_RNA from 1 species